CAGUCGCCGCGGGAAUACGAAGGGUGCAAGCGUUACUCGGAAUUACUGGGCGUAAAGCGUGCGUAGGUGGUUGUUUAAGUCUGCUGUGAAAGCCCUGGGCUCAACCUGGGAAUUGCAGUGGAUACUGGGCAACUAGAGUAAGGUAGAGGAUAGUGGAAUUUCCGGUGUAGCAGUGAAAUGCGUGGAGAUCGGAAGGAACAUCUGUGGCGAAGGCGACUAUCUGGGCCAACACUGACACUGAGGCACGAAAGCGUGGGGAGCAAACAGGAUUAGAUACCCGGGUAGUCCCUGUCUCUUAUAC
rnacentral:rRNA from 1 species